UGAUGGCAGAUAGCAGUCUGCACACUGGUGAGAGCAGGUUAAAAACCCCAUUUCUUUCUUCCAGAUGCAAAAGGUCAUCCCUGGACAGAUGUUCCCUAUUCAUUAAUCCCCUGAUGGCUUACUCCAUCCCUCCUGGGGGUUACCAUCUUGAAACAGCAAAGGCCAACCCCAUCAUUUGAAUUAGCCAAUCGAGAAAGACUGUGUACCUGAGCUCCAAUCAAGAGCAGGGGAUAGUUCACGUGCAUUGGGGAUUAUAAAGCCGAGCAGACCCCCAGCUCAUGUGUGAGGACUUCCAGACCAUGUGUGCGCACCCUUCUGUGUCGAAGUAAAGAUGUGUGCCUUGCU